CGUGCCUUUCUUUGGAGUUAGAGAUGAAGAUCAUCAAAACCAGAUGAAACAACAGCAUUCCUCAACACCAACUUCAUCUUCAGCUCUGGCGCCGCCGCCCCAGAAGAAAAAGCGAAACCAACCUGGAACACCAAGCAAGUAUCAACAAUUUUUGUCUAAGAUCUAUCUAAUUAAAAUAAAUUAAAAAAUAAUUUCAAUUUAUGAAUUUUUCAACUAACCCAUCUCCUACCUUGAUUUUCUUUUUCCUCUGGUUUUUUUUUUUUUGUUCAGAUUUUGCAUUAAAAACCCCAUUUAAGAAACUGUAAGAAACUUUUGAGCGGAAUUGACAUGCGUAUAUGUAUUCAUAAAUAUAUUAUAUAAAUUCCAAAAUAAUUUCAUCCUUUCUAAUUAAAUUUUUUUAAUUUGUUGAAUUUUCUAAUAGUUUGUUGUUUGGCAUUUUUCAUAACAGAUCCAGACGCAGAGGUGAUAGCACUAUCUCCCAAGACACUAAUGGCAACAAACAGGUUCAUAUGUGAGGUAUGCAACAAAGGGUUCCAGAGGGAGCAAAACCUACAGCUCCACAGAAGAGGACACAACCUACCUUGGAAGCUAAAGCAGAAAACUACAAAAGAAGUGAAGAGGAAAGUGUAUUUAUGCCCUGAACCCACAUGCGUCCACCAUGACCCUUCUAGGGCUCUUGGUGACCUUACUGGUAUCAAGAAACACUAUUCAAGAAAACAUGGUGAGAAAAAAUGGAAGUGUGAGAAAUGUUCAAAGAGAUAUGCUG
rnacentral:lncRNA from 1 species